UUAGAGUUUGAUUCCCUGCUCAGGACGAACGCUGGCGGCGUGCCUAAUACAUGCAAGUCGAGCGCAGGAAGCAAGCCGAUCCCCUUCGGGGGUGACGCUUGUGGAAUGAGCGGCGGACGGGUGAGUAACACGUGGGCAACCUGCCUGUAAGACCGGAAUAACCCCGGGAAACCGGGGCUAAUGCCGGGUAACACCUUCCCUCGCAUGAGGGAGGGUUAAAAGAUGGCUUCUCGCUAUCACUUACAGAUGGGCCCGCGGCGCAUUAGCUAGUUGGUGAGGUAACGGCUCACCAAGGCAACGAUGCGUAGCCGACCUGAGAGGGUGAUCGGCCACACUGGGACUGAGACACGGCCCAGACUCCUACGGGAGGCAGCAGUAGGGAAUCUUCCGCAAUGGACGAAAGUCUGACGGAGCAACGCCGCGUGAACGAUGAAGGUCUUCGGAUCGUAAAGUUCUGUUGUUAGGGAAGAACAAGUGCCGUGCGAAUAGAGCGCACCUUGACGGACCUAACGA
rnacentral:rRNA from 1 species